AAACCAGCACCUCAAGUGGUCAGGAUGAUUAUUGGGCCUAAAGCAUCCGUAGCCGGCUCUGUAAGUUUUCGGUUAAAUCUGUACGCUCAACGUACAGGCUGCCGGAAAUACUGCAGAGCUAGGGAGUGAGAGAGGUAGACGGUACUCGGGAGGAAGGGGUAAAAUCCUUUGAUCUCUCGAUGACCACCUGUGGCGAAGGCGGUCUACCAGAACACGUCCGACGGUGAGGGAUGGAAGCUGGGGGAGCAAACCGAAUUAGAUACCCGAGUAGUCC
rnacentral:rRNA from 1 species